AGCUUUCUGAAUCCGUGACAAGAUUUCAUCGGACACCAGACCAUCAAAGCUGAUAAGAAUUCCAAGAUAAGUGAAUUG
rfam:Schistosoma mansoni strain Puerto Rico chromosome W, complete genome